AGUUGGUGCAUGCAGCCCUGGUUUGUGCAGUGUUCCACAUGAUUCUCUAUGGAUUUGAUGUGGGAGAACGAUUAACCCAGGGGCUGCCCUAUGUGUAUCCUCUUGGACCUAUAGUGGCUGAAUGUCCUUUUUGAGAUCCUGCAGCUGUUGACCCUGAGUGGGAGAAUGCCUUAUCCAGGUGUAGUCUUGUGCACACCUUUCCAGACCCAUAGCAGUGGUUUGGUUGCAGAGCUGUGAUUAUAUGGACAUUCUCCACACUUGGUAUACAGCAGUUCAGACAUGCAGCCCCAUUGGAAUGUGCUGAUAGAGAUGUACUUUUAAUUAUUCGGCUUCAUUAUAUUAUGAUUGGAUUUGAUGAUUCAUGUAUGGCCCUUCUUGAAAAAGAUCCUGGUUUUUGGAUUGAGACGUCGAAAACCUUUGAGGCUACAAUAAAAAUUUUCUAUAGAAGAAA